rnacentral:miRNA from 1 species
UCAUGGAUCUCCUCUCCCAGU